CUAUCGAUAGCUAAACGGCAGAGCGGUGGGGCGUUUACCCAUGCGGCCCGGGUUCGAUCCCCGGUCGAUGCA